rnacentral:lncRNA from 1 species
UGUGAAGCCCGCUUGGAGAAGAGGAGGAGGCUGAAAAGAAGGCAAAGAGUGAAGAUAGAGAAACAAGAUGGAAGUGGGGGAGAAAAACAGGGAUGAGAGAAUGCCAUGGUGGUGCUGAGAAGGAAAGGAGAGACUUUUCUGCUUGUAAAGGGCAGAAGAUGGCAGAAUCCAGUGACGCAGGGGCAUCUGGCUCCAGAAAUAAUAGGUCACUUGGCACCCACUUCUUCAAAACAGGUGAAGCCAAGAUGGCCAAAUGGAACAGCUCCAGUCUACAGCUCCCAGCUUGAGCGACACAGAAGAUGGGUGAUUUCUGCAUUUUCAACUGAGAUGCCAAAUGAAAGUUAAAGAACCCAAGUGUUUCCAAGAUGAGAGAGGGGAGCCUCCCGAGGGCUGUAUGAAGUCAAAGGAAAGAUUAUGGAGGUAAGGUGAGGUGGGGGAAUGUGUCCUGACCUGAGAACUGAUUAACAGGGGUGGUGAAUAUUUACUUUUGGCAGUAAGAGAAGGAGAUGUAAUUUGUAAAGGGCAGACAGAGGCCUUCCAAAGAGCCAACAAUGUUCUAAUUUUUGAAUGAGGUGUUAGUCACAUGAGUAUUCUUUUUAUGAUAUCUCAGUAGGCUAUUCAUUUGUUUUAUUACAUUUUCUGUAUGUGUUAAGUUUCACCAUAAAGUUGUUUUGAAAAGAGAUUAAUAUGUGAGUAGACU